GGAAGCCUGGCCUGCUGCUGUCCAUGGGGUCGCAAAGAGUUGGAUACGACUGAGCGACUGAACUGAACUGAGGUCAGAUAUGACUGUGGUGUAAUCUUUAAGAUCACCACCAGAGGGCGGGGCUUCCUUCAGAUGCGAUUCCUUUUUGUAUUCAGGAGCUGGUUUGACUUGCCUACUCUGUAGCCACAAGACAGAUGACUGCUGCUGUGCAGAAAGGGGUUCCAAGUUUCUGAAUGAGGAGCUUCUGUAACAUCCAGCCGGAGACUUAACUUUGUUAGAUUUGAUGUUUCUAGGGAACAAGAACUGUUGCCAGAAUGUUUUCUGCCACUCACUCAGUUCUUGUCAUCUUCUUAAUACUUGGAGGGACCAAUGGUGACUCAGUGAACCAGACAGAAGGCCCAGUGACUGUCUCAGAGGGGGCUCUCCUGACCCUGAACUGCACUUACCAGACCACGUAUUCAGGUUCCUAUCAUUUUUGGUAUGUCCAGCAUUUCAACAAAGCUCCUCAACUCCUCCUGAAGGGCUCAAUGACAAACGAGAGCCCAGAGCAUGAAGGUUUUCAGGCCACUCUUAAGAGUGACAGCUCCUUCCACCUGCAGAAACGGGCAGUGCAAGCAUCAGACUCGGCCGUGUACUACUGUGCUCUGAGUGACACAGUGAGAGAGGGCUGCAGGGGGAGCUGAGCACAAACUCAAGGAGAGCAGGAGGCUGAAGUCAGGAAGAGGUAUAUUUUCUCCUUGAUCAGAGUUUAGUUUACAUUUAGAGUUUUUCAGGAAAACCAAUCAAGCUCAGGUCUAAUCCUAGAAACUCAGGAGGUUGGGAAUUGCUCUACAGGGAUAAUAGGGUGGAUGUCAGUCUUAAGGAAGAUCCAAGCUCCAAUCCCCAGAAGCACCCCUGUUCAGCCAGAAAGAUUCCUCUCUUCUCUAGACUGACUUCUUAAAACAAAUCUAUUUUUCUCAUAAUGUGAGAUGGAUAUUAGAUGCCACAGAAUUAAUAAUUCAUUUAGAGAAAAGAAAUAGAUGAUUAAAAGCUGCAUCACCUGAAUCAUAAUCAUAAACCAACACAGAGGCACCAAGCAAAUCACAUACCAGCCUGCAUGUGGCUGAGACGUAACGCUAUUGAGGGGCUGUUUUCAGUGAAAGCCUUUG